GACACGCUCAGUUUUGCCACCAGAUCAUUGAUAAAAGCUGGCGGAACAUUCCAGUACAGAGGUGUGUGGAUGGGAGGGAAUCAUGGAGUCAUGACGGCUGAUCCUGUCAACAUUGAGUAUAUGCUUAAGACAAAUUUCAACAACUUCCCCAAAGGAAAGUACUAUAGGGACAGAUUUCAGGAUUUGCUUGGGGAUGGUAUUUUCAAUGCUGAUGCUGAAUUGUGGAAGGAUCAGAGGCGAACAGCGAAAACGGAGAUGCAUUCAAGCCGGUUCAUUUCUCAUUCGUAUCAAACCAUGCAAGAUCUAGUUCACCUGAAGCUGUUGAAACUAACAGAGAAGCUGGUGAAAUCAGGGGAUUGUUUUGAUCUCCAAGAAAUGCUGCUUCGUUUUACAUUUGAUAAUAUUUGCACUGCAGCUUUUGGGGUCGAUCCAGGGUGUUUGAACCUGGAUUUGCCUGAAGUUCCCUUUGCAAAAGCUUUUGAAGAAGCUACAGAACUCACUUUGUUCAGAUUGUUGAUGCCACCUUUCGUUUGGAAAUCCAUGAAGUUUUUAGGAAUAGGAUAUGAAAAGAGGCUCAGUACAGCAAUUAAAAUCGUUCAUGAAUUUGCUGAGGAGACAGUGAAGGAUCGAAGGAACAAACUAAUCAAACUUGGCAGCUUAAAAGAUCAUUCUGAUCUCUUGUCCAGCCUUAUGGAUA
rnacentral:misc_RNA from 1 species